GACGAACGCUGGCGGCGUGCCUAAUACAUGCAAGUAGAACGCACAGUUUAUACCGUAGCUUGCUACACCAUAGACUGUGAGUUGCGAACGGGUGAGUAACGCGUAGGUAACCUGCCUGGUAGCGGGGGAUAACUAUUGGAAACGAUAGCUAAUACCGCAUAAUAUUAAUUAUUGCAUGAUAAUUAAUUGAAAGGUGCAAUUGCACCACUACCAGAUGGACCUGCGUUGUAUUAGCUAGUAGGUGAGGUAAUGGCUCACCUAGGCGACGAUACAUAGCCGACACGCGAGGGUGAUCGGCCACACUGGGACGGAGACACGGCCCAGACGCCUACGGGAGGCAGCAGUAGGGAAUCGUCGGCAAUGGACGAAAGUCUGACCGAGCAACGCCGCGUGAGUGAAGAAGGUUGUCGGAUCGUAAAGCUCUGUUGUAAGAGAAGAACGGGUGUGAGAGUGGAAAGUUCACACUGUGACGGUAUCUUACCAGAAAGGGACGGCUAACUACGUG
rnacentral:rRNA from 1 species